rnacentral:rRNA from 1 species
ACUACGGGAGGCAGCAGUGGGGAAUAUUGGGCAAUGGGCGCAAGCCUGACCCAGCAACGCCGCGUGAAGGAAGAAGGCUUUCGGGUUGUAAACUUCUUUUCUCAGGGACGAAGCAAGUGACGGUACCUGAGGAAUAAGCCACGGCUAACUACGUGCCAGCAGCCGCGGUAAUACGUAGGUGGCAAGCGUUAUCCGGAUUUACUGGGUGUAAAGGGCGUGUAGGCGGGAAAGCAAGUCAGAUGUGAAAACCAUGGGCUCAACCUGUGGCCUGCAUUUGAAACUGUUUUUCUUGAGUACUGGAGAGGCAGACGGAAUUCCUAGUGUAGCGGUGAAAUGCGUAGAUAUUAGGAGGAACACCAGUGGCGAAGGCGGUCUGCUGGACAGCAACUGACGCUGAGGCGCGAAAGCGUGGGGAGCAAACAGGAUUAGAUACCCCAGUAGUA